CAGCCGCCGCGGGAAUACAGAGGCCUCAAGCGUUGUUCGGAUUCAUUGGGCGUAAAGGGUGCGUAGGUGGCUUGGUAAGUUGAAGGUGAAAUCUCGGGGCUUAACCCCGAAACUGCCUUCAAUACUGCUAGGCUCGAGGACUGUAGAGGAGAAUGGAAUUCACGGUGUAGCAGUGAAAUGCGUAGAUAUCGUGAGGAAGACCAGUGGCGAAGGCGAUUCUCUGGGCAGUUCCUGACACUGAGGCACGAAGGCCAGGGGAGCAAACGGGAUUAGAUACCCCUGUAGUCCCUGUCUCUUAUAC
rnacentral:rRNA from 1 species